rnacentral:rRNA from 1 species
GGGAAAUUAUUUAAUUAUCAGUUAGAGCUGCUGAGAACUAAUCCUGGAAGCACAGUUGCAGUGAAGUUGGACCAUAAUGAAAAGGAUGGGUCAUAUGUAUUUCAAAGGUUUUACAUGUGUUUUGAUGCCUUGAAGAAAGGUUUCUUGGCAGGUUGUAGAAAAGUUAUUGGCCUUGAUGGUUGUUUUUUCAAAGGUGCUUGCUAUGGACAGAUGUUGUGUGCUAUAGGAAGAGAUGCAAAUAACCAGAUGUAUCCUAUUGCUUGGGCUGUUGUGGAGAAAGAAAAUUAUGAGUCAUGGUUCUGGUUUCUUGCCAAGAUAAACCAGGACUUGAAAAUAAGCAAUCAAGGAGAUGGAUAUGUAUUUAUGUCAGAUCAACAAAAGGGACUUAUAGGGGCAAUGGAGGACAUUUUUCCUAAAGCUGAGCAUAGAAUGUGUGCAAGACACAUAUAUGCUAAUUGGAAGAAAAAACACCCAGACCAUGAUCUUCAGAAAAGGUUUUGGAGAUGUGCAAAAUCACCAAACAAAGUGAUUUUCAACUACAACAGGGCCAGGCUAGCACAAUUUACUGUUGAGGGUGCAAAAGAUAUGAUGAACACUGAUCCAGUACAUUGGAGUAGGGCCUACAUGAAGCUGGGGUCUAAUUGUGAUUCAGUUGAUAACAACAUGUGUGAAUCUUUCAACAACUACAUCCUGUUAGCUAGGUACCUUGCUAUUGUCUCAAUGCUUGAGUGGAUCAGGUGCAAAAUUAUGGUGAGGGUA